AACGAACGCUGGCGGCAUGCCUAACACAUGCAAGUCGAACGAGACCUUCGGGUUUAGUGGCGCACGGGUGCGUAACGCGUGGGAACCUGCCCUUAAGUUCGGAAUAACUUCCCGAAAGGGGUGCUAAUACCGGAUAAUGUCCUCGGACCAAAGAUUUUUCGCCUUUGGAUGGGCCCGCGUUGGAUUAGUUAGUUGUUAGGGUAAAAGCAUGCCAAGGCGACGAUCCAUAGCUGGUUGGAGAGGCUGAUCAGCCACACUGGGACUGGGACACGGCCCAGACUCCUACGGGAGGCAGGAAUGGGUGAUAUUGGAGAGUGGGCGAAAGCCUGAUCCAGCAAUGCCGGGAGAGUGAUGAAGGCCUUGGGGUUGUAAAGCUCUUUUACCCGGGAUUAUAAUGACAGUACCGGGAGAAUAAGCACCGGCUAACUCCGUG
rnacentral:rRNA from 1 species